GACGAACGCUGGCGGCGUGCCUAAUACAUGCAAGUCGAACGCACUUUCGUUAGAUUGAAGAAGCUUGCUUCUGAUUGAUAACAUUUGAGUGAGUGGCGGACGGGUGAGUAACACGUGGGUAACCUGCCCUAAAGUGGGGGAUAACAUUUGGAAACAGAUGCUAAUACCGCAUAAAACCUAGCACCGCAUGGUGCAAGGUUGAAAGAUGGUUUCGGCCAUCACUUUAGGAUGGACCCGCGGUGCAUUAGUUAGUUGGUGAGGUAAAGGCUCACCAAGACCGUGAUGCAUAGCCGACCUGAGAGGGUAAUCGGCCACACUGGGACUGAGACACGGCCCAGACUCCUACGGGAGGCAGCAGUAGGGAAUCUUCCACAAUGGACGAAAGUCUGAUGGAGCAACGCCGCGUGAGUGAAGAAGGUUUUCGGAUCGUAAAACUCUGUUGUUGGAGAAGAACGUAUUUGAUAGUAACUGAUCAGGUAGUGACGGUAUCCGAA
rnacentral:rRNA from 1 species